rnacentral:rRNA from 1 species
UACGGGGGGGGGCAAGCGUUGUUCGGAAUUACUGGGCGUAAAGGGCUCGUAGGCGGCCAACUAAGUCAGACGUGAAAUCCCUCGGCUUAACCGGGGAACUGCGUCUGAUACUGGAUGGCUUGAGUUUGGGAGAGGGAUGCGGAAUUCCAGGUGUAGCGGUGAAAUGCGUAGAUAUCGGGAGGAACACCGGUGGCGAAGGCGGCGACCUGGGUCGAGACUGACGCUGAGGCGCGAAAGCGUGGGGAGCAAACAGG